GGGCCCAUAGCUUAAUGGUUAAAGCAACACACUCAUAAUGUGCGGACUGGGGGUUCAAAUCCCUCUGGGCCUA
rnacentral:tRNA from 1 species